CCUACAGUGGUCUAUGUGGUUAGGAUUCCUGGCUUUCACCCAGGCGUCCCGGGUUCGAUUCCCGAUGUAGGA
rnacentral:tRNA from 1 species